UUUCUUUCUCUCUGCCAUUUUCUCUGCAAAAGAAAAUGCCUUUAAAACCCCAAAGUUGAGAGAAAACCUCUCUAGGCUUGAAGCUGAGAUACAUGAAAGAUCAGCAGAACAUUUUAAUGGUUGCCAAGACACAACUUGUGCUUUUAUUCCAUUGCAACCAAGGAAGGGGAGAGAUUUAUUAUUUCUUGUUCUAAUCAAGGCGUAGAAUUGUCAGGAAUUCGAAGUUUCCCAGCUUCAGCGAACACUGCAUUAUUUUAAUUUCGGGAAAGACAAAAAUCUCUUGCAUAUAGCUUGUACAGAAAGUUCUUGGGACCUCGGGAUUUAAAAACAAAUAAUAAAUAAAUAAAGUAUGUACUUUUGCUAUUUAUGUUUACUUCCGCAAGUUGUAAUUAGUAGUUGCACUUUAACGUACACCUUGUUCAUGAACGAUUUGUUUUGAAGGACGGAAAAAAUGUGUAUAUAAUCAGUAGUAACCUUGACUUUAUAUCCAAGUCUUGUACUAUUCUGAACAACCCUUGAACCUGUUUCAUGAGAAGAGUUGCAGUGGUCACGAUCUUGCUUAAUGAAGCUUCUGCAGUAAGCAUUCCUAAACAGGAAGAGAAAAUCCAACAAUACUUGCCAAAACGGUUUCCUUGCGGUAAUUUUUAUCAUAUUUGAACUUGUAUCACUUUUAAUAAGAUUCCCCCCCCCCCCCAAAUAAACCCCAAGGAUAUAAUUUUGUAGGAACUGCCGCUUGAUUUGUGGUAAUUCCAUAAAAGCAAAAAAAAAUAAAAAAAAAAUUGGGGUGUGGGUGUGAAAAUUGCACAAGGCACAUGACAAUUAUGUGCAGCUUUGAAUGAAAAAAUGAUUUUGGUUUAGUUUGCUCAGAGAGCAGCACAAGACGGUUGGAGCAGUGUAAGGUGCAACUUGUACCAUUUCAUAUUAAAGGGGUGUUGUUGUUUUUUAAAGGAUGUAGUCGGAGGAUAUUUUGCUAUAAAGUCACAUCAGUAUUUCUCCGUCAUUGGUGCGUAAUCACAGACGGUCUGCACCAGGCGUCCUCAACCUUGGCCCUCCAGAUGUUUUUGGCCUACAUUAUCAGCAUUUUUAAUUUGUAUACCGUCUUUCUAUAUUACAAUACUCAAGGCAGUUUACAAGCUGAAGAAACAAAAAAUGUACAUCUUAUAACAAUCUAAUGCAAUACAAAAAUGUGAUAAUAAAGCAUAACUUUAAAAAAUACAACUCCACUCCCAUGAUCCCUAGCUAGCAGGACCAGUGGUCAGGGAUGAUGGGAAUUGUAGUCUCAAAACAUCUGGAGGGCCGAGCAAACCGAUGGGACCCUUAUCCUUUAUGGGUGAAGGCAGUAAUCUCAAAAUAUUUAUUUUAUUCCGGGUUCCAUCUAAUUCAUGAAGGACAACGCCAGGUUUUUGGAGCACUUAGACUAAGGGUAUACAUUAUGAGAGACACCUUGUUUGCUUAUGUCUUCCCAGCAGUGGUUUCGGGAAAGUUCCUCUUGCCCUUCACAUAAUUUUGCUCUGAAAAAGAGCAAAUGUGAUCCACCACCAUUCC